rnacentral:rRNA from 1 species
CGCUAGCGGCAGGCUUAACACAUGCAAGUCGAGGGGAAACGACAUCGAAAGCUUGCUUUUGAUGGGCGUCGACCGGCGCACGGGUGAGUAACGCGUAUCCAACCUGCCCACCACUUGGGGAUAACCUUGCGAAAGUAAGACUAAUACCCAAUGACGUCUCUAGAAGACAUCUGAAAGAGAUUAAAGAUUUAUCGGUGAUGGAUGGGGAUGCGUCUGAUUAGCUUGUUGGCGGGGUAACGGCCCACCAAGGCAACGAUCAGUAGGGGUUCUGAGAGGAAGGUCCCCCACAUUGGAACUGAGACACGGUCCAAACUCCUACGGGAGGCAGCAGUGAGGAAUAUUGGUCAAUGGACGAGAGUCUGAACCAGCCAAGUAGCGUGCAGGAUGACGGCCCUAUGGGUUGUAAACUGCUUUUAUAAGGGAAUAAAGUGAGUCUCGUGAGACUUUUUGCAUGUACCUUAUGAAUAAGGACCGGCUAAUUCCGUGCCAGCAGCCGCGGUAAUACGGAAGGUCCGGGCGUUAUCCGGAUUUAUUGGGUUUAAAGGGAGCGUAGGCCGGAGAUUAAGCGUGUUGUGAAAUGUAGAUGCUCAACAUCUGCACUGCAGCGCGAACUGGUUUCCUUGAGUACGCACAAAGUGGGCGGAAUUCGUGGUGUAGCGGUGAAAUGCUUAGAUAUCACGAAGAACUCCGAUUGCGAAGGCAGCUCACUGGAGCGCAACUGACGCUGAAGCUCGAAAGUGCGGGUAUCGAACAGGAUUAGAUACCCUGGUAGUCCGCACGGUAAACGAUGGAUGCCCGCUGUUGGUCUGAAUAGGUCAGCGGCC